rnacentral:tRNA from 1 species
UAGGCGGAAGCUCGCUGGUUUGAGCGUCUAGCUGUUAAUUAGAAUUUUAUGGGAUCAAGGCCCAUCUGCCUAG